CCUAGGAGAGCAAACUCCGAACAACAAACCCGGGCAGGUGGAGCUCGUCAGCCGUGGUAGGCAAUCUGCCUAGGAGAGCAAACUCCGAACAACAAACCCGGGCAGGUGGAGCUCGUCAGCCGUGGUAGGCAAUCUGCCUAGGAGAGCAAACUCCGAACAAUAAACCCGGGCAGGUGGAGGUCGUCAGCCGUGGUAGGCAGUCUGCCUAGGAGAGCAAACUCCGAACAAUAAACCCGGGCAGGUGGAGGUCGUCAGCCGUGGUAGGCAAUUCACCUAGGAGAGCAAACUCCGAACAAUAAACCCGGGCAGGUGGAGGUCGUCAGCCGUGGUAGGCAAUUCACCUAGGAGAGCAAACUCCGAACAAUAAACCCGGGCAGGUGGAGGUCGUCAGCCGUGGUAGGCAAUCUGCCUAGGAGAGCAAACUCUAAAUAAACCCGGGCAGGUGGUGCUCGUUAUACUGUCGUAGACAAUCCACGCGAUGGGAACACCAAAGAAAAGGAAAAUAAAAAAGAACACCAGAAAAAUGGAAAAUACAGAAACGAAACAUCAAGAAAAGAAACAAAAAGAUCAUCCACCUUUAGGCCCUAACAUCGCCAAAAUUAUGGGUGGGUCUCUUCUGGGGAGAAAGCGGCUCACCCAGACCAAAGAACAUCAACAAGGGAUGAUAUAGAAAAGAACACCAAAAAAAUAUGGAAAAAGAACAGAAAAAAACAUCGAAAAAGAAAAGCAACAGAAAUAAAUAAGCAACAUCGAGAAAAGAGAAAUACAAAGAAACAUCAUCCACCUUUCAUUUAAACAACAUCACCAAAAUUAUGGAUGGGUCUCUUCUGGGAGGAAAGCGGCUCAUCCAGACCAAGGAACAUCAACAAAAGGAUGAUGGGAAAAAAAUAACAACAAAAAACAUCAAAAAGAAGUAAAAAGAAAAAGAACAGGAAAACAUCGAAAAAGAAAACAAAAGCAAUAAAAAGAACGAAAAACACGACAUCAAGAAAAUAAAAUAAAACAAAC